rnacentral:rRNA from 1 species
CAGUGAGGAAUAUUGGACAAUGGGKGGAAGCCUGAUCCAGCCAUCCCGCGUGAAGGACGACGGCCCUAUGGGUUGUAAACUUCUUUUGUACAGGRAUAAACCUCCCCUCGUGAGGGGAGCUGAAGGUACUGUAMGAAUAAGCACCGGCUAACUCCGUGCCAGCAGCCGCGGUAAUACGGAGGGUGCAAGCGUUAUCCGGAUUUAUUGGGUUUAAAGGGUCCGUAGGCGGGCCCGUAAGUCAGUGGUGAAAUCUCGCAGCUYAACUGYGAAACUGCCAUUGAUACUGSSGGUCUUGAGUGAAUUUGAAGUGGSUGGAAUAAGUAGUGUAGCGGUGAAAUGCAUAGAUAUUACUYAGAACACCGAUUGCGAAGGCAGGUCACUAAGAUUCAACUGACGCUGAGGSACGAAAGCGUGGGGAKCGAACAGGAUUAGAUACCCUGGUAGUCCACGCCGUAAACGAUGMUMACUCGUYUUCGGGCCRCAAGGCUCGGAGACCAAGCGAAAGUGAUAAGUUAKCCAC